UGAGGUAGUAGGUUGUAUAGUUGAGAGCUAUACCUUAGGGAGAUAACUGUACAACUUGCUAACUUUCC
rnacentral:pre_miRNA from 1 species